UCCCUCUCAGGGUCACAUCUGGAGAGUUUCCAGUCCUCUACCAGUCUCGACUCCGGGAGGGAGAGUGAGGCAGAGGCUUGUCCGUGCCAUUCCUAGCUUGGCCAGUGGCUAGCGAGUGGGAGGCCAUCUGCUACAAGG